CCUUCGGGGGGCAGCAGUGGGGAAUAUUGCACAAUGGGGGAAACCCUGAUGCAGCGACGCCGCGUGAGUGAAGAAGUAAUUCGUUAUGUAAAGCUCUAUCAGCAGGGAAGAAAAUGACGGUACCUGAGUAAGAAGCCCCGGCUAACUACGUGCCAGCAGCCGCGGUAAUACGUAGGGGGCAAGCGUUAUCCGGAUUUACUGGGUGUAAAGCGCUCGUAGGCGGUAUGUCAAGUCAAGGGUGAAAUCCCCGCGCUCAACGUGGGAACUGCCUUUGAAACUGGCAAACUGGAGUGUGUGAGAGGAUAGUGGAAUUCCAGGUGUAGGAGUGAAAUCCGUAGAUAUCUGGAGGAACAUCAGUGGCGAAGGCGACUAUCUGGCACAUAACUGACGCUGAGGAGCGAAAGCGUGGGUAGCAAACAGGAUUAGAUACCCCAGUAGUC
rnacentral:rRNA from 1 species